ensembl:lncRNA
AUUGUGCAGCUUACCUGAGGUACCAAAAAAAAAAAAAAAAAAGGUUAAACAAUUAAGUUAAGCCAUCAAGUGAAUAAUGAAGUGAUGUAGACUGUCAUUGUGGAUUUCUCCAGAACAAGCUCUCCAAGUGAGACGGGUUGAACUUAACAUAUUGUCUGUAAGAAGAAUUAGGAUGAGCUGUCUCCCUCCCUUGAAGACUAUGUGUCACUAUGGGGCUCCUAAGCAAGCUUGGAACAUCUAAAUGUCAUAUAACAUGGAAGGAUUAGAAGCAAAAGCCAAAGAAAGUUAAUCCAUUAAGUAUAUAAAGGAAGAAUGAACAGCUCUGGAAGGUGGACCAGUAAGAUAAAGAAAUGAUGUCCAGUGUGAGAGGAAUUAAAAAUAAUUAUUGCUCAUCUUUGCUGCAGACUGUGCAAGUUGCAUUUCAGACAGUAUAAACUAUAGAUUAAACCAAUAAAUCAUAGUACUAUCCGUGUGCCUUCCAGAUGGCAAUUUAUCUAUAAUAAAUCCCAUAAUAUCAAGUCACUGCCAUGGACACAUGACGGGGCGUAGCUAUGGCUACAGUUUUUAUCAACAAGUCCCGUUACUCAAGUAGCGUGUAUAACAAAAUUCAUGCAGUCACCUUUUUUGGCAUUGUGAUGCUUUCAACACAGCAAGAUCAGAGUAGUUCAUCUGGGCAAAAAUAAGAAGUGUUGUGGAGCAGAAAUUAUGAUGAAAGUUUGUUUUUGCAUGGUACAUGUUAAGAUUUGUGUAAUGGAGGAGAUGUUAUUUAAAAUGAUGAGCAUUCCAAGUGGUAUAACUAGAGAAAGAGCUACUGCUAAUGAAAGGACUGUGAGAGCUUUAUAAUGCUAAUUAUCUAAGUUUUAAUUUCUUUUCAACUUAUCAUCUAAUAAUUCAAGCUUUUGUUAUUGUGUCUGUGUGUACAUGCAGGUAAUUCUAAUAAGUUGCAAAGCCAGAGAGACCAAAAUGCUUGCAGACUGUGUUGGGUCAUCCUUAAAUCAAACUGUUCUUGUAUGACCUUUUCCCAUAUUUCCACCUAAAAACUUAUCUGUUACUCAGGAAAAAUAAUUGUGUCCUCAUAAUUAAUUAAAAAUCAGUAGUCUCAGAUUCUGAGAAGUGGAAGUGUAGAAUUAGAUCUGUGUUUGAAGUCAGCACUGACAAUGGUGUGUAUUCUCUUUGUGUGUAAGUAGAUUGCUAACCCCAAAACUUUGUAAGAUCUCAUCUUGAAUUGUACUGUGGAGAUUUCUGAAAUAAUCAUGGUAAAUCUUACGAAAGUGUUUGCAAUUAAAAAGAAAAAUCUUAUUAAAAAUCUUUAAAAUCUGUACAUAUCACCCUGAAAUAAAUAUAAAAUGAAG